rnacentral:tRNA from 1 species
GCGCCCGUAGCUCAGUUGGAUAGAGCGCCUGGCUACGAACCAGGAGGCCGGGAGUUCGAAUCUCUCCGGGCGCACCA